GCGCGUUGCUAGCUGAAUGUGUGCUGCUGAUGGGAAUAAUUCUUGGAUUGAAUUCACUUUUGUUUGCCCAGCUUAAAAGUUCACAUCUUGCUUUAUUUUUCGGUAAAUCCAGUGCCAAACAAAAAUUCUAUAACCAAUCAGUUUAUUCAUAGGCAAUCUCAGAAAACGAUUUUAAUUAAUUAGUUAAAGUAAUAAAAAAAAUAGCUACAGUAUUUAGAUGGUGUUUAGAUAUUAUAAGUGAAAUAAUUACAUGCAUAUAAGUAUGUGUAUAUAUGCAAACAUUCGAUUAAGGAUGCUAGCUAAAGGACCAUCACUAGCGGACAAGUGCUGUUAGUUUGUCAAGCGCCCAAAAAAGGAUCGUGUCGAUUGGUCGAGAAAAAUGUAAAAAAAUACUAUAAUGGUGCCUUGAAACACGUCUAAAACAUCUUGACAGAUGAUGAAUCAUGGAUUUAUACGAAUGAGCCCGAAAGUAAACAGCAGUCGACUGGUUUGAGUGUUUAAGAAUUUGCCGAAUCUAACAAAAGCUGUUCGCCUACGAAGUAGUUUGGAAAAACUGAACAUGUCGCAACCGUACCACAAAAGCAACACAGAGAAGUAAAUACUUAGUGUUACUAACUAUUUGCUUUUCAGUUGACUUUCAAGAAAUCAGGAAAACCAACCGAAGACGGAUCAUUUUUACCAUGACAAUUCGAGCUCUCACACAUCGACUGAAGCAAUUGCAUUUUUAAGCCCUUCGCACAUCGAUUUUAUGAGCAAUCCAUCGUAAAGUCUUGACUUGGCACCGAAUAGCUUCUUUUUAUUCCCAUACGAAAAAGAUAAACUAAGAGCUCAACGUUUUUUCAACUCAUGAAAAGGCGGUUGAUGUGUUCAGAAUGCAGGUUUUGGAGAUACCUCAAUCAGAGUUGCAAAAAUGCUUUGAAAAUUGGUUCAAACGCAUGCAAAAGUGUAUAGAUCUUAACGGAGAAUAUUUUGAAAAAACAGUAAAGCAAUUUUCGAUGACUAAUAUUUGCUCUUGUUUUCUAAUCCGGAAACAUAAAGGCAAUCUACGUAUGUAUACAAUUAUGUGCAUAAUUCUUCUGUGAGUAUGUCACUGAACCGCUCCUAAACGGUUUUAGAGUAUAACAGUUUUGUUCACCUAACGGUUGUACGUAUCACCCAAAACUAAUCGAGAUAGAGUUGCUUAGUAGUCGGACCACUACCACGCCCACAAAACGCCACUAACCGAAAACCUAUAAAGUGGCAUAACUAAACACUAAAUUAAGAUAUAAAACUCUAAUUUGGCACUGGUGAUCGCAGUAGAAAGCCCAUAUGUGUGUUUUAAUUUUUGGAAAAGUGGACGUAGCCCCGCCGUCUAUUAAGUUGUAUGCACAUAUCUCCCAAACCACUAAAGAUAUAACAACCAAAUUUACUCAGCGCAAUAUUUAUAACUCCUACCGUGUCCAAAUGGAUGAAAUCGGAAGAUAACUCCAGUCACUCCCCAUACAACGGUACUGUUCAAAAUUAGUAAAAGCGCAAUAAAUAAAAUAAUAAAAUAAAUAAAGUUUGCAGUGAAAACCACAAACACGCUAGAAACUCGCAUAAAACUCGUUGGAAGUUGGUUGUCAAGUGUAAGCACGUCACAUUCACCCAGAAGACGGAAAGCACCUCAAACUUAACACCACCAGCACAAAUUGGCUAUUAGAUAAAAAUUCAAACCUAUGUAUGUAUGUAGUUUGCUUGGAUCAUAAAAUCCUCCUAUACAAUUCAGUUAUAAAGCCAAUAUGGAAGUAGGGUAUACAAGUCUAAAGCAGUAAUUCAUUAGUUAUUAAGAUUCCUAAACUUAAUAUUAGGUUUAAAUUAUGUAAGAAGGAGUCGAAUCGUUACAGCCGUGAACGUGUCUCGUCACGUAAAUAGCUGUAUUUCGGACUAUGAUAUAAGUGAUAGUAACGCUUAUAUCGUAAUCUGGAAUUAUGACAUACAUACGUGAGCGAGUAUAUAAACGUAUUCGAAAUGUCAUUCGAAUGAAAACUACUACUCGUUACUGACAAAUUUAAGAAAAUGCGAGUUUAUUUUUUUUAAAUAAAGUAAGUUUUAGUAUUAUAAUAAAGAAUAAAAACAAGAAACCAAUGAAUGUUAGUUAACUUUGUAACAAGUAUAUUUUUAUUCACACUUUCACUAUGUAUGUACAUAUGUAUAAGUUGAAAUCGUUCUUAAUAACAAUGUAAUUUAUUAUAAAAGCCUUUAAUUUUAUAUAGUGUUA
rnacentral:lncRNA from 1 species